rnacentral:rRNA from 1 species
AUUGAACGCUGGCGGCAUGCCUUACACAUGCAAGUCGAACGGCAGCACGGGUGCUUGCACCUGGUGGCGAGUGGCGAACGGGUGAGUAAUAUAUCGGAACGUACCUUAUUGUGGGGGAUAACGCAGCGAAAGCUGUGAUAAUACCGCAUCAUCCAUAAGGGGGAAAGCGGGGGACCGUAAGGCCUCGCGCAAUUAGAGCGGCCGAUACCUGAUUAGCUAGUUGGUGAGGUAAAGGCUCACUAAGGAAACGACAAGUAGCUGGGCUGAGAGGACGAUCAGCCACACUGGGACUGAGACACGGCCCAGACUCCUACGGGAGGCAGCAGUGGGGAAUUUUGGACAAUGGGGGCAACCCUGAUCCAGCAAUGCCGCGUGAGUGAAGAAGGCCUUCGGGUUGUAAAGCUCUUUUGUCAGGGAAGAAACAGCAGCUCUAACACAGUAUGCGAAUGACGGUACCUGAAGAAUAAGCACCGGCUAACUACGUGCCAGCCGCCGCCGUAA